GGGUACGGGGGGAUACGACAAAUAUUUAAAUAUUAAAAAUAUUAUAUAUAUAUAUAUAUAUAAUAAAUAAUUCAUAAGAUGCAUUUAAGUAGAACAAAAUAGCGGAAUAACUAAAUCAACCCUACUAGAGAUAGAAAUACACACACACACACAAGCAAUUAUAUAUAUUUACAAUCUAUAGACACACAUGAGCAGAUAUUACAGAAAACACACUUACCAAUCGACAUACUUGAGCUGGAGAUGCUCUGCUCUCUCUCGUACAGGUACUCAGUUAGUCUAAUUAGGUUUUGAUUCCUCUUUUCUU
rnacentral:lncRNA from 1 species